rnacentral:misc_RNA from 1 species
GAUGAAGAACGUAGCGAAAUGCGAUAAGUAAUGUGAAUUGCAGAAUUCAGUGAAUCAUCGAACCUUUGAACGCACAUUGCGCCCGCUAGUAUUCUGGCGGGCAUGCCUGUCCGAGCGUCAUUUCAACCCUCAAGCCCCUGGGCUUGGUGUUGGGGAUCGGCGAGCCUCCGCGCCCGCCGUCCCCUAAAUCUAGUGGCGGUCUCGCUGUAGCUUCCUCUGCGUAGUAGCACACCUCGCACUGGGAAACAGCGCGGCCACGCCGUUAAACCCCCAACUUCUGAACGUUUGACCUCGGAUCAGGUAGGAAUACCCGCUGAACUUAAGCAUAUCAAUAAGCGGAGGA